AAAAAAAUCGUGUAAAUAAGCAAUUGCUUUCGAGUGCGAAUCUCAGCCCGAUGACGACAUCGUUGUUAAUAUCACCGAUGAAGAAUAUCGAUGAGCGAGUUCGAACCACGAGUUGCUACGGUUUUUAAAGAUUGUUAUUAUAGAUAUGGCAAGAUACGUUCACUUUUAAAUACUCAUCUAUUUCCAUGACACUGAUAAGACAUUACUGAUAACGUAGAUACCUACGUAUAGAUACUAUCGCCAACGUCUUCAUUUUGUUUUUUUCUUUUUGUGUUACAACGAACUAACAGUAUCCUCGCAUCGGUGUAUUCGUAAAAAUGAUGUAUCCGCGUCAAUGCGUCGGUAUAAUCUUUCUGUGUUUCUCGGUACUCGUCGCUCGCUCUUGCUGAAAUUCGCAAUCAAAGAUGGUGGAAAGAUACUGUGUUCUAUCAAAUCUAUCCUCAAAGUUUCAUGGACAGCGACACAAUGGCAUUUUCGGUCUCAAAGAUCAUUCUCGAUCUCGUUCUUGAUCAUAGACCAAUACGAACGGUUUAAUAAAAUUUUAGAAAGUGUUAAUAUGUCUGGAAGAAAAUACAAAGAUUACUACAUAUGGGCGGAUCCUGUCAAUGAAACUGACCUAGUGAAACUGAAGUGACCAUCAAAUAUUUGGCUCGAUGUAUUUGGGAAUCCAGGUUGGAGUUAUUAUCCAUGUCGAAAGUAAUUGUAUUUUCAUCGAUUUCUUCGAGAACAGCCAGAUCUAAAUUGCAAAAAUUCUGUAGUGAUAUUCGAAUAGCAGCAAAUAAUAAAAUAUUGGCUACAUAAGGAUGUAAAUGGAUUUUGUAUUACAUCAUCUUUUUGAAAUAAGCAACAUUACCUUGGACGAGUCAAAGAACAAUACUGUUAAUCUGUCGAAGAAUGAGUAUGCUUAUUUACAGAAUAUUUAUAUGAAAGAUCAAGACGAAUAUGUUUUAAUAAAGGAUUCUUACGCAAAGAUAUAAUAAAUAACGAAGAAAAAAUAUGUGAAUAUAUAGAUGAUGAUAACAAAGACAUAUACGAUAUUAGAAAAUACUACGAAAUUUUAUAGAUACCGAUCACAUAUAUCCUUUAAUUAAAAUUCAUUAUAAAUCUAGUCAAAUGCUACUAAUUUCAAAAAUAUGAUAGACGCAUGGAUCCAAACUAUGCCAAUAAAAAAUGUACCUGUUUGUUUGGCGAAUCAAAAACUAUUUUCAUUAAUUGACCGAUUAUUUCUUGAAACAAAACUUAUCACGGAGGAGAAAUCGGUAUGAUGAAUAAUCAAAACAUAAUAUUUAAAUAGAUGCAAAAUGCACAAGCUUAUAGUGCCACUGAAAAGAAAAUAUAAAAGUAAAUCUUAUCUUAUCCGUGUAGAACACCAUUUCUGUGCAAUAAUGCAACCUAUGCAGAAUUUCAACAGAACCUUGCUAACCAGUUAAUGAAAAUUAUGAAAUACUAAAUUUGGAACAGCAGAAAAAAGAUACUAACUCAUAUUACAAGAUUUACACUGCACCAACAACUGCACUAACGAGGUUACGAAGUUCAACGAGUGCACUCAAAAAUGGAUAAUAUCAGUUACUUUAAAAAUAAUAAUCUUUUGGUAAUUAGACGAUAUAACGAAGAUAAGUUAGUAAGAGUUCUUAUAAAUUUUUCAAACGAUAAAUCGCAAUCGAUCAAUCUCACUGACGUGUCAGAAAGGAUUCCAGCUAUAGCAACAACGAAAAUUACAAAUGUUGAUGUCGAAAAUAGAAGUUAAUAAAGGACAAGAUGGAUAUAUUGUGGUCGUUCCAAAGAAAACUCCGAUAAUCCUUCAUUCGACGUAUCAACUUUUCAAUGGUUCCAAGAAAUAUACUAACUAUCUUCUAACAAUAUAACUAUCUUCUACUGAUAAUACUGAUCAUCAUAGUAUUAAAGUUAUAAGAAAUAAUAAACUAAUACUAUUAAUGUU